AGAGUUUGAUCAUGGCUCAGAACGAACGCUGGCGGCGUGGAUAAGACAUGCAAGUCGAACGGGAUUUUCCGUGUAGCAAUACAUGGAAAGUUCAGUGGCGUAAGGGUGCGUAACACGUGGGCAAUCUGCCGAGAAGUGGGGGGAUAGCUCGCCGAAAGGCGAAUUAAUACCGCAUGUGGUCAGCGAAGGAUUCUUCGCGACACCAAAGCCGGGGCAACCUGGCGCUUCUUGAUGAGCCCGCGGCCUAUCAGCUAGUUGGCGGGGUAAAAGCCCACCAAGGCUAAGACGGGUAGCUGGUCUGAGAGGACGACCAGCCACACUGGAACUGAGACACGGUCCAGACACCUACGGGUGGCAGCAGUCGAGAAUUUUUCUCAAUGGGCGAAAGCCUGAAGGAGCGACGCCGCGUGGGGGAUGAAGGGCUUCGGUCCGUAAACCCCUGUCAUUUGCGAACAAACCUUUACUUUGAACAUUGGUAAAGCUGAUUGUAGCGAAAGAGGAAGGGACGGCUAACUCUGUGCCAGCAGCCGCGGUAAUACAGAGGUCCCAAGCGUUGUUCGGAUUCACUGGGCGUAAAGGGUGCGCAGGUGGGUUGGCAAGUUUGACGUGAAAGCCCCGGGCUUAACCCGGGAAUGGCGUUGAAAACUGCUGAUCUGGAGGAUCGGAGGGGGGACUGGAAUUCUUGGUGUAGCAGUGAAAUGCGUAGAUAUCAAGAGGAACACCAGUGGCGAAGGCGAGUCCCUGGACGAUACCUGACACUGAGGCACGAAAGCCAAGGGAGCAAACAGGAUUAGAUACCCUAGUAGUCC
rnacentral:rRNA from 1 species